rnacentral:rRNA from 1 species
UACGUAGGGGGCGAGCGUUGUCCGGAUUUAUUGGGCGUAAAGAGCGUGUAGGCGGCCGGGUAGGUCUGCUGUGAAAACUCGAGGCUCAACCUCGAGACGUCGGCGGAAACCAUCUGGCUAGAGUCCGGAAGAGGAGAGUGGAAUUCCUGGUGUAGCGGUGAAAUGCGCAGAUAUCAGGAGGAACACCAACGGCGAAGGCAGCUCUCUGGGACGUUACUGACGCUGAGACGCGAAAGCGUGGGGAGCAAACAGG